GCCAACGGCCAUACGAUGUUGAAUGCGCCGGUUCUCGUCCGAUCACCGAAGUUAAGCAAAAUCGGGCCCGGUUAGUACUUGGAUGGGUGACCGCCUGGGAACACCAGGUGCUGUUGGCU
rnacentral:rRNA from 1 species